GCUUGGACGCUCCAUAGAUAGGUUUGAUUGUCAGACCGCGAAAUUUAAAAAGAAGUGAUUCUGGCUGGUUGUGAUUAUUAUUUUAGGAAUGUAUAUAUAUUUUAGAACAUAGGAAUGAGAGUCACUUAAAUAAAUAUGUUUAAAUCGUGAAGUGUAUCUGGUUGUGAAAAGUUUUUUUAUCAGAUUAUUAUUUGGAUUUUGAAUAAAAUUUUGGUGCAGUGCAGUGAAAUAAAUGUGCCCAGUGUGAUGGAAAGUGCAUUGUGCGUGAGUGUGGUGACGUGGUGAGGUGGCUGUGCCGCGAGGUAGUGAGGCCGGCCGCGGGCGCAGUCAUGCCGCUAAGUUGACGGCUGUGGCCGGCCGCGCCUCACGCCGCUCAACCACUCGCGACACAGAAUGCUGGGCGGCGUGGGAGGGCGGCACGCGUCAGUGCGGCGGCGCGGCAGCUCGCCGGGCGUGCGCCGCGUGGCCGCCGCCGGCGAGUCGCCGCCGCCGUCGCCGCGGCCGAUGCGCAGGCGCCGCGCAGCGCUCGCCGCCACCGACCAUAAGACAUGCGCCCUCAUACAUACGAGACUCA